rnacentral:rRNA from 1 species
UCGCCCUUAGAGUUUGAUCCUGGCUCAGGACGAACGCUGGCGGCGUGCUUAACACAUGCAAGUCGAACGAGAAUCUACUGAAAGAGUUUUCGGACAAUGGAUGUAGAGGAAAGUGGCGGACGGGUGAGUAACGCGUGAGGAACCUGCCUUGAAGAGGGGGACAACAGUUGGAAACGACUGCUAAUACCGCAUGACGCAUAGAGGUCGCAUGAUCUUUAUGCCAAAGAUUUAUCGCUUCAAGAUGGCCUCGCGUCUGAUUAGCUAGUUGGUGAGGUAAUGGCCCACCAAGGCGACGAUCGGUAGCCGGACUGAGAGGUUGAACGGCCACAUUGGGACUGAGACACGGCCCAGACUCCUACGGGAGGCAGCAGUGGGGAAUAUUGCACAAUGGGGGAAACCCUGAUGCAGCGACGCCGCGUGGAGGAAGAAGGUCUUCGGAUUGUAAACUCCUGUUGUUGAGGAAGAUAAUGACGGUACUCAACAAGGAAGUGACGGCUAACUACGUGCCAGCAGCCGCGGUAAAACGUAGGUCACAAGCGUUGUCCGGAAUUACUGGGUGUAAAGGGAGCGCAGGCGGGAAGACAAGUUGGAAGUGAAAUCUAUGGGCUCAACCCAUAAACUGCUUUCAAAACUGUUUUUCUUGAAUAGUGCAGAGGUAGGCGGAAUUCCCGGUGUAGCGGUGGAAUGCGUAGAUAUCGGGAGGAACACCAGUGGCGAAGGCGGCCUACUGGGCACCAACUGACGCUGAGGCUCGAAAGUGUGGGUAGCAAACAGGAUUAGAUACCCUGGUAGUCCACACCGUAAACGAUGAUUACUAGGUGUUGGAGGAUUGACCCCUUCAGUGCCGCAGUUAACACAAUAAGUAAUCCACCUGGGGAGUACGACCGCAAGGUUGAAACUCAAAGGAAU